rnacentral:ncRNA from 2 species
UGAUAAGUUUUGACUAAAAGCGAUAUAAUCUCAUAAUUGGUUGAGAGUUUCUACGACUUACCGUAAAUAAGUGGCUAUGGCUUUUAAAGAUUAAUAG